rnacentral:lncRNA from 1 species
AAUACAAGCUAAAAUGUAAAGUAUCUGGAUAAGUUAGAAUAUAACAAUGCUAAUAUUAGGGGGACCAGUUUUGCAAAAAAAAAAAAAAAAUCGGAUCCUCAGUUGCUUUGAGCUUGCAUCGAUCGAACUGAGAAGACCCAAAUGCUCAGUUCAUCAUGUUCGAACUGCAAUACUCGAUCCAGCUCAAGAUGUACAAUUCAUCGCUUACUGAAGACCGUUCUACUCGAUUUAAUUAUCUCGGUGUAAGCCUCACCAUAAUCAAACAACGAGAAGAGAAGACGCGGACACGACAAUGCUCUGAUGCGGUGGAGAUGUGGUCACAACAAAAUCUUAAGAACACUGAUGUCUGAAUAAAAUCUCCUGAACAUUUUUGUCUGGACCAAAUCUCCUACACACUGCUAUAUGAAUAAUUUUCCACUUAUAGAACAAAGCAGUAACACAAACGAAUUACAAAACAAGAAAUCUGUUAUCGAACGACAAUAAAAUAAUAGAGAAGACACUAGAAUAUUAUUGAAGAUGAGAUUAUGUGUUUUGUGUACAUUAAAUAUAGAAGGGGGAAUAGAAGAAUCAAAGAAAACUCAGAUAAGAAAGCGAAUUGGAGAAAUAAAACAGAUAAGAAAAAGGUGAAAGAAUGGAGAAAGAGCAUUAAUAAUUGUUUCUCUCUCUUCCAAAUAUUUGAUCAUCUUACGUAGAAGAAAGAGAAGGUAUAGGGGCAUCAAUGUAUUUUCGUAACAGUUAGAGGUGGGCUUCACGUUUGGGCCAUCGGUUUUUCCAUAUGCGCUAAUUUCUUCAUCUUAUAGUAUUUAGUAUGCAAAUCACUCUUUUUAAUAUGUGUCUAAAUAUCUUAGGAAUUAAUUAUUUGAAAUAGAAGAGGGAAUAAUUGAUAAAAUUGUUUUAAAAAGUCAAAACAAGAAGUGUCAAAAUACAUGAGAAAGUUUACAACAGUUUAGGUUGAAGACAUUUACUACUCUAUAAAUUCCCACCCCUGCUAUGGGUCCCAGUUUGCCAUUAACCAUAGUUAAAUCAUCAAUCCUGAAACCCUCUCUUUUGAAAAAUUAUUUUUAAAUAUAUGUACUACUAUUAUUCCUAUUUAAUUAUUUAUUAGUUUUCAUUUCUCCUAUUAAUUAUUUUAUUCUGUCUUAGCAAGCAUUCAUCGCCAGAUUCACAGAUAUCUUAUAAGACAUCUUCCCCAUCCUCCAAAAGUUUUAUUUUAAACAUAUUAAAUGAUCUCCAGAAGCUGAUUAGCUCUCUUUAUCUAGAGUUUCUUUGAGCAUAACCUAAACCCUUUUCUAACAAGAUUAUCUUGAAAAUAUUAAAAAGCCAUAGAUGCUUUUGAGUUUUGAGCAAUGGAUAUGACUCUUAAAUCUCCUGAACCCGAACCCGAAACUCCAACCCGUAUCCAACCAGCCAAACCAAUCUCCUUCAGCAACGGAAUUACCAAACGCCACCACCACCCAAUCGCCGUCACCUACAAAGAAUGCCUCAAGAACCACGCGGCAGCGAUUGGCGGUCACGCACUCGACGGUUGCGGGGAGUUCAUGCCGUCUCCUUCUUCCACGCCUUCCGAUCCAACUUCCCUCAAAUGCGCCGCCUGCGGUUGCCACCGUAACUUCCACCGCCGUGACCCUGAAGAUUCCUCUCUCACCUCAGCCGUGCCUCCACCGUCUCUUCCUCCAUCUUCCACACUCGAGUACCAGCCUCACCACCGUCACCACCCGCCUCCACCAGGUCCUCAUCUCCCUCGCAGCCCUACUUCCUCUUCUCCACCUCCUAUCUCCUCCUCUUACAUGCUCCUCGCUCUCUCCGGCACCAAUAAACCCGGCGGAAACAGCUUACCGUUCUCAGAUCUCAACUUCGCCGCCAACAACCUCUCCACUCACCACCUUACCCCAGGCUCUCGGAAGCGUUUCAGGACGAAGUUCAGCCAAGCUCAGAAAGAGAAAAUGCACGAGUUCGCCGACCGUAUCGGGUGGAAGUUUCAGAAGCGCGACGAGGACGACGUGCGCGACUUCUGCCGGGAGGUUGGAGUCGAUAAAGGCGUACUCAAGGUGUGGAUGCACAAUAACAAAAACACCUUCAACAACCGCCGCGACCAGCCAGUCGCUGGCGGAACCACCGUACAUUGCGUUGACAACGGCGUCGCAGUUAACAACGCCGAAGAUGAUGGCGUUCACGGUGGAAACGGUUUAGAGCACAACCUACACGGCGAUGGAGCUGAAGGCGUCUGCGGUUGCCACCGUAACUUCCACCGCCGCGACCCCGAUGACUCCUCCCUCGCUUCCGCCGUGCCUCCACCGUCUCUCCCUCCAUCCUCCACCACCGCUGCACUCGAGUACCAGCCUCACCACCGUCACCACCCGCCUCCACCAGGUCCUCAUCUCCCUCGCAGCCCUACUUCCUCUUCUCCACCUCCUAUCUCCUCCUCUUACAUGCUCCUCGCUCUCUCCGGCACCAAUAAACCCGGCGGAAACAGCUUACCGUUCUCAGAUCUCAACUUCGCCGCCAACAACCUCUCCACUCACCACCUUACCCCAGGCUCUCGGAAGCGUUUCAGGACGAAGUUCAGCCAAGCUCAGAAAGAGAAAAUGCACGAGUUCGCCGACCGUAUCGGGUGGAAGUUUCAGAAGCGCGACGAGGACGACGUGCGCGACUUCUGCCGGGAGGUUGGAGUCGAUAAAGGCGUACUCAAGGUGUGGAUGCACAAUAACAAAAACACCUUCAACAACCGCCGCGACCAGCCAGUCGCUGGCGGAACCACCGUACAUUGCGUUGACAACGGCGUCGCAGUUAACAACGCCGAAGAUGAUGGCGUUCACGGUGGAAACGGUUUAGAGCACAACCUACACGGCGAUGGAGCUGACGGCGUAAACGCUAAUGGCUCGUCUUCUUCUUCGGGAAAGAGCAAUAAUGAAGCUUAAGCUUUGUUUAGCUUAGAUCAUAGAGAGUAAGCACUGCUAUUAUCAUCUUAAUACGUUUAUUAUAUUAAUUA